GUAAUUGGUGGCAUCUGAAUUUGGCAGGAUGCGGUGAGCCGCAAAAUAAGCUUAGAUACCCUAGUAGAUUUUGCCGUCGCGCAGGGGUCUCAGUGGAUAUUUAUAACCCCUCACGAUAUCAGCAUGGUGAAGGCUGGGGGUAGGAUCAAGAAGCAGCAAAUGGCUGCCCCUCGUGGUUGACUGGUCAGCACCCCUUGUAAAUGAGGCCUUGGGCAUUGUCAUUGACGUGGAGUGUAUCUGCUUUGAACUUCUUUUAAUACUUUGUUUGUACAUAGUUUAUUUGAAGUGUGAACUUAUGCAAGGUUUGAUCAGGAGAUCGUCAUUGGGCGGCUCCAGCAGCUGCAGUGCUGUUUGAACGUUAUCCCAUGUGUAUGUCCAAUUUUCAAUGCUAAAUCAGGGCUUGAUGUCCGUCUUGAAGAUCCUAGGCCUUGACAUUAGCCAACUUUUGUCGCAGAA